UUAUUGCUAACUCCUACUUGUUCUAAAUUGUUAAGUGUGAAUUGUAAGAGUUAUAUUUUCAUGUGUGUUUCAUAAAUAAGACAUAAGAAAUCGUGAUGUGUUAGUUGUAUGUGCGCUUGUAGAGCAGUAAUGCCAAAACGGAGCGCUGAUUGAUUUUUUUCCCAUUAAUGAUGCAAAAUCCUUGUUAAAACGAUCCUUAAAUCUAUGAAAACGCCCUCGAAAAAUCCAUUAAUUUCGCUAAAAAGUAGUCAGAGAUGUUUCAGAAUUUAGACAAUAGCGUGAUGCAGUGAUAACAGAACAAAGCAAUACAUUAAGUGGCGUACCUACCAGACUGAACAAAAAAAAAAAGGAAAUCACAAAAGACUAAGCAACACGUAAACUUUAGUGUUUCGUUGUCCAUUUUUCUCAUCCACCACUUAAUUAAGUAAACACUAUCUUGUUAACUGGUAACUACUCAUUAGAUGCCCUGCCUCCAGAGAACUAGUGCUGCACUGCCAUACAUAGGGGGCAAUUGUUCCAUUAUCGAGCCAACAAAUAUUGAGAGCCUGUAUAACGAAAAAGAUAAGAGAAACACAUCAAUUAUAACAUGGUAUUACGGUGUAAGUUUCGUCUUUUCGACGGCGCCAAAUGAGCUUCUUUUUAUUCAAUUUAUCAUUUUUCCAUUUCUACGUUUCUAGCUUCACUUCAUUGUCAUACUAGACUAGGGGCACCAAAUAAUUCACUUUAUAAGUUUUCAAAGCUUCCUGAGUGAUGCUGUACGACAUGUUGGGCAUUGACUCUCUUGUAACUAGGGUGCCACAUCAAAGCGCUUUGUUCUCUCAUUAGUAUUAUCUUCAAAGUUCAUAGAGAUCAUCAGUCGAGUUCUCAUGGAUUUUUUUUUUUUUUUUUCAUGAAUGGUGAAAACAUUUGUUAAAUUCUUGCUGCAAUCAUGAAAACAUCUUCGAAAAAUAAAUAAGUAAAUAACACCCACUAGAGUUUGAUGAAAGUAAUUGAGGCAGUGUCGAAGCACCUGAGAAUGUGUUUCAGGAUUUCACCUCUGGUGGGUACUCUGGUGUCAGGUCACCAGUCGUGGAAGUUUAUCAGGCGGAAGCGGAGCGCAGCGGGGACGGCCUUGGGUUUCACUGCACGAAAGACGGUGGAUAAGAUAGAUAUCCAAAUAACCAAGAAGGUGCCACGGAUGGCUUGGCGUCGUGUGAGCACAGACACUAGCACCGUCAUCCAGUCAGUCGGUGUCUGCUGUGCAAAAUUAACAUACAAGAGUGAAAUGUGCGUGUUGGACUCAGUCUGGAAGCAGCGGAGGUAUUCCGGAGAACCCAGCUGAGAGGAUCAGCAUCACGGCAGACCAGCAGCUGAGCAGGCCAACAGAAAAGGCGGAACACCUGAAGAUAGACAAGAGCAUCACUGAAAAGUGACCCAAGAACUCUCCAAGGGUCAGGCACCUCAAAAAAAAAGUUGCAUAAUUUCCUUGCCAGAAAUAUGCAUGUUGAAAGCCCAGACAAUCCCUGUCUCCUCAAGUACCUGUGUAAGGGGACUGGCACUGUUAAAGAGGAUGGCUGGGUCAAUUCCUUGAGCAGCAGCCAGCUGCUGCUUCAGGUCCAGCAAGAUGGCCACCUCAGGGCCCACUGCCUCCUUAGAUGCACCGCUGGUCUUCAGAGCACGAACCUUAUCACCCUGAAAAUGUAAUGCAUGUUAUUCCAUAUACAGCACAGCUGUAAAUUGGAAUAGAAUAGAUAAUUAUACUAAUUGCAUUGGAAGACUA